rnacentral:rRNA from 1 species
AGAGUUUGAUCAUGGCUCAGAACGAACGCUGGCGGCGUGCUUAAUACAUGCAAGUCGUGCGAGAAAGCCUUACUUCGGUUUGGCGAGUAAAGCGGCGAACGGGUGAGUAACACGUGGAAAAUCUGCCCUCGGAUCUGGGAUAAUCCUUCGAAAAGGGGGUCUAAUACCGGAUAACACCGCGAGAUGGCAUCAUCUUGCGUUCAAAGGCGGGGCAACCUGCCGUCAGGGGAUGAUUCCGCGCUCCAUUAGCUUGUUGGUAAGGUAACGGCUUACCAAGGCUACGAUGGAUAGCCGGCCUGAGAGGGUGAUCGGCCACACUGGGACUGAGAUACGGCCCAGACUCCUACGGGAGGCAGCAGUAGGGAAUAUUGCGCAAUGGACGCAAGUCUGACGCAGCAACGCCGCGUGGGUGAUGAAGCUCCUUGGAGUGUAAAACCCUGUCAGUGGGGAAGAAACGUGCGAGGAGUAACUGCCUCGUACUUGACGGUACCCACAGAGGAAGUCCCGGCUAACUCCGUGCCAGCAGCCGCGGUAAUACGGGGGGGACAAGCGUUGUUCGGAUUUACUGGGCGUAAAGGGCGCGUAGGCGGACCUCUAAGUCGGGUGUGAAACCUGUUGGCUUAACUGACAGCCUGCACUCGAUACUGGAGGCCUUGAGUACGGAAGAGGAGAGUGGAAUUCCAGGUGUAGCGGUGAAAUGCGUAGAUAUCUGGAAGAACACCAGUAGCGAAGGCGGCUCUCUGGUCCGAUACUGACGCUCAAGCGCGAAGGCUUGGGGAGCAAACAGGAUUAGAUACCCUAGUAGUCC